CCUACGGGUGGCAGCAGUGGGGAAUAUUGCGCAAUGGUCGAAAGCCUGACGCAGCGAAGCCGCGUGAGGGAUGAAGGUCUUCGGAUCGUAAACCUCUGUCAGCAGGGGAGCACGGUCACUGUGCUAAUCCGCAGUGAGUUUACGGUACCUGCAAAGGUAGCACCGGCUAACUCCGUGCCAGCAGCCGCGGUAGUACGGAGGGUGCGAGCGUUAAUCGGAAGUACUGGGCGUAAAGCGCUCGUAGGCGGUAUGUCAAGUCAAGGGUGAAAUCCCCGCGCGCAACGUGGGAACUGCCUUUGAAACUGGCAAACUGGAGUGUGUGAGAGGAUAGUGGAAUUCGAGGUGUAGGAGUGAAAUCCGUAGAUAUCUGGAGGAACAUCAGUGGCGAAGGCGACUAUCUGGCACAUAACUGACGCUGAGGAGCGAAAGCGUGGGUAUCAAACAGGAUUAGAUACCCCAGUAGUC
rnacentral:rRNA from 1 species